rnacentral:rRNA from 1 species
CCUACGGGAGGCAGCAGUGGGGAAUAUUGCACAAUGGGGGAAACCCUGAUGCAGCGACGCCGCGUGAGUGAAGAAGCGUUUCGGCGCGUAAAGCUCUGUCAGCGGGGAAGAAACACGGUUCGCGAGAGCCGCGGACGGUACUCGACCAAGAAGCCCCGGCUAACUACGUGACAGCAGCCGCGGUAAUACGCAGGGGGCAAGCAUUAUCCGGAUUCACUGGGGGGAAAGGGAGCGGAGGCGGCGAGACAAGUCGGGGGUGAAAGGCCGGGGCCCAACCCCGGGAUUGCUCUGGAAACUGCCUGGCUUGAGUACAGGAGAGGUAAGUGGAAUGCCGAGUGUAGCGGUGAAAUGCGGAGAUAGUAGGAGGAACACCAGUGGCGAAGGCGGCUUACUGGACUGUAACUGACGUUGAGGCUCGAAAGCGUGGGGAGCGAACAGGAUUAGAUACCCCAGUAGUC